UACGGAGGGUGCAAGCGUUAUCCGGAUUCACUGGGUUUAAAGGGUGCGUAGGCGGGCAGGUAAGUCCGUGGUGAAAUCUCUGAGCUUAACUCAGAAACUGCCAUGGAUACUAUUUGUCUUGAAUGUUGUGGAGGUGAGCGGAAUAUGUCAUGUAGCGGUGAAAUGCUUAGAUAUGACAUAGAACACCAAUUGCGAAGGCAGCUCACUACACAAAAUAUUUGACGCUGAGGCACGAAAGCGUGGGGAUAAACAGG
rnacentral:rRNA from 1 species